AACCAGGAACGGAGCGACCCAAGAGGGAAACAGGAAUGGAACGACCCCGGAAAAAAAUUCCACAGAUUCAUUCUGUAGUCUGAACGCAUGAGAUUAAGCACUUCUGUUCAUCUAUUCCAACUUGGAGAUUAAGUCUACAUUCACAAGUAGGAUGCUGACUCCCUGUAUGCUGACUGCAAAAAAAUUAUGAUUACCUACAACCACAGUAUAGGAUCCAGGUGACCCUAGCUGACCCAAUGAAGCAAGAACAACUGGAACCUAUUCCGAUCUCUUCACUAAAGAUGGAUACGAUUACAAAGAUAUUAUUGUCUACACUUUUACUAUUACUCAUUUGUUAUGGAUAUUUUAUGUUGUUUUCCUUGUUUUUCAUCAAUAUGCUGCUUAAGUUGUUCAACAGUGGCAUGGUCCAACCACAGACCAUGUAGUAGAAUGUAUUUGUACUUAAUUAAAUAAUGCUACUUUAGUCUGUGUUUAGCCUAAAGCAAGUGCUGAUAGACAAAAACUUUGCCCCUGAAACAAACAUCUUGUAUAAUUUGAGAUUAAUUAAUAUUUUACUAUUAGUUGACAGCCCUCCAAAAACAUUUGAAAGAGA